rnacentral:rRNA from 1 species
CGUGUAGGCUGUUCUGCAAGUCGGGUGUGAAAGCCCCGGGCUCAACCUGGGAAGUGCACUCGAAACUGCAGAACUUGAGUCCUGGAGAGGAAGGCGGAAUUCUCGGUGUAGAGGUGAAAUUCGUAGAUAUCGAGAGGAACACCGGUGGCGAAGGCGGCCUUCUGGACAGUGACUGACGCUGAGACGCGAAAGCGUGGGAGCAAACA